rnacentral:lncRNA from 1 species
CAGCAGCGGAGGCUGUAUCUUCCACUCUAACCCGAUCCGUUGCGAUGCGAUCCAUAAAAAUAGCUCACUAAUUAUCUGUAUGCUAGGGUUACAAUCCACACAAAAAGCAAACAAACUGUCGAGCAUUUUUAUGGAUCUUCUGCUGUGUCGGCUCCCCCCGCUUGUCUCCCUCACGCUUUGCUGUGUCUUUGUGCCCCCGCAAAGAUUUCAUUCGAUGUUGUUGAAUUUGUAUUUUCAAUAACAGUUCAAUUUGCAGUCGAGUUGGUGGGCUGGCUGCCUAAAUUGCGGCAUCUGGAUCGCCGUAGCCGCCAUGCCAGCGUGCCGCAUUCGACUCAUCCAGAUCCUCAAUGGACUGCAUGAACUGCCGCAGCUGGGCAAGAACGCGGUCUGUGCGCUCCUCCAGAUGGUCCAGCGCUCUGUUCAGUGCAUCCAGAUUCAGUAUGACACUGUCCAUGAUGAGCUCCGUGCUCCGUCUGAGGUGCACCAAGGUGUCCACGCUUGCUCUUAUUUCCCGGUUUCUGCUCCGCCGAGACUCAUCCAACUGCUGGUUCUCCUCCAUGCUGUCCAUUGGGGCUCUCGAAUGUGCAAUUUUAAACUGUUAUUGCUUUAAUACACACAAUUUUUGUAUGCUUAGUGCACAGGUGCUGAACUGAAGUGUAAAGCAAAUUCCAAAAAUAUUCACAAAUAUUUGGUGCAAAAAUAAUCAUCUGCGCCACUGGAGUGCUCUGUGGUUGAUGGGUAUGCAGACUCUGACAUUAGUUAUUUGUAGUUGAAUAAUGGGAUACAAAUCACUCUCUGUCCCAAGGCUUAGCGGCUCUUUAAUCGUUACACAAUUAUCCAACUAACUAACAAUUAUCCUCUCAUUAAAAGCAAUGCCAUAACUUGGGUCACACAAUGAAGAACUCUUCCGAGAGGGCAUCUUGGGCAUCUUGUUAUCACACCUUAUUAUUGAAAUAUUAUGAAAUGAGAGCAAAUGAGCAACCAUUACGAAAGUGCUUAAUCGUUGUUUUCAUUAAAUGCAUUUACAAAAUGGCAGUGGCCAUUAUUUAAGCACAACAAUUACAAAUCGUGCGCUGUGCCUGCAAUAUUCAUAUUCACUUGUCAAAAUGUCAACUCAAAAUAGAAUAUUUAUGCGUUUUUAUGUACUGUACGCCACAUAGAAAUGAAGCAUCCAUCGCGGAUCGUGGAUGGGGUAAAAAGGCAGUCCAAAACUAUAAAUAAAUGCACGGCGUGCAACCGAAC